rnacentral:lncRNA from 1 species
CAUACUAUAACACAUACAAUCCAGAUUGGAGAGACUAUCCAGACUUCAGUUAUGCAGAGGCUAACAACUACCAGGAUUAUCAAGGAUAUCAAGCCCAACCAGAACCUCAAAGUUCCAAUCUUGAUGAGACUAUGAAGACAUUGCAGAGUAUCCAACACCAACAGGAUCAAUUGAACAAAUCAUUGAAUGCAACCAUGUUAAGAAGAGAGGAAGAGCUUCAAGAUGUAUGGGAUGAUGAUGAAAGUUGGCAAGUACGAGAACAAGUUGCUGAAGAGACCCAACCAGAAAACUGUUUGUCCCAACAAACUGGUCAAACAGAACCCGCU